AUGGACCCUCUCACCAUCUCCAGGGCCCUCCUCACUCUCCAUCCCCUCUCUCCUCCAUUCCCCACCAUCAACCAGAGCCCAAAACCCCUCAACCAACUUCUCCCCCUUCUCUCCAAUCGAUGCCCACAGCACCAGGACUCACCACCAGCCCCCAAAGCUCCAGCCCAGCCCCUGCCUUCAGCUGGGAGCUCUCAGCCAUGGUGCAGCUCAAGGCUUCCAGCAGCUCUGCCAGCACCAUCCCAGCACACGGAGGGAUGCCAUGGAGGAGAAGCUGAGCUCUGGGUGCUGCUGUUGGGCUCGGGGAGCAGCUCAGCCCUCAGCCCAGAUCUCAGUUCACAUCUCAGCCCCGAUCUCAGCUCUCAGCCCAGCUCUCACUUCUCAGUUCAGCUCUCAGCCCAUCUCUCAGCCCAGCUCAGCCCUCAGCCCAGCUCUCAGCCCUCAGUUCACAUCUCAGCCCAGAUCUCAGCCCUCAGUUCACAUCUCAGCCCAGAUCUCAGCCCAGCUUCCAGCCCCGAUCUCAGCUCUCAGCCCAUCUCUCAGCCCUCGGCCCAGCUCUCACUUCUCAGUUCAGCUCUCAGCCCAUCACUCAGCUCAGAUCUCAGCUCUCAGCCCAGAGCCCAGCUCUCAGCCCAUCUCUCAGCCCAGCUUUCAGCUCAAAUCUCAGCCCAUCUCUCAGCCCAGCUGAGUGUAUUAAAGUCACGGUGUGUUUCAACUCAUCCCUUCGGUGGCAGCUUUGGGACGUGGAGAAAUAAAGACAAAGGCUGAUGAUGGUUCUCAGUUGGAGCUGCCGAUGGGGCCGGGAUGGAGCAGCUCGGAGCCCACCCCGAGGUGGGGAGGGGCAGAAUUAAAUGGGGGGGGGGGGGUUUAAAUCACCACGACGGAGCCACUGGGAACGGACGGGAGAGAAACGGAGCCUGGGGCGGCACCGGAGCUGCGGGGUGAUAAACGGAACGGAACGGAAUGGAAUGGAAUGGAACGGAAUGGAACAGAAUGGAACAGAAUGGAAUGGAACGGAACGGAACGGAACGGAACGGAACGGAACGGAACGGAAUGGAACGGAAUGGAACGGAACGGAAUGGAAUGGAACGGAAUGGAACGGAACGGAACAGAAUGGAACGGAA
rnacentral:lncRNA from 1 species